UGGUGAUGAUGAAAUUUCUUAUCCAACAUUCGCGGUUUCCACCAGAAGAAUUGCUUGUGUUCUGAAGAUGGCAUAUUGUCCUUCCUUGGAUGUCUGAACCA